UCCGGCAUCUGGUUCAGUUCCGCCAUGGCCUCCUUGGAAGUCAGUCGUAGUCCUCGCAGGUCUCGGCGGGAGCUGGAAGUGCGCAGUCCACGACAGAACAAAUAUUCGGUGCUUUUACCCACCUACAACGAGCGCGAGAACCUGCCGCUCAUCGUGUGGCUGCUGGUGAAAAGCUUCUCCGAGAGUGGAAUCAACUAUGAAAUUAUAAUCAUAGAUGAUGGAAGCCCAGAUGGAACAAGGGAUGUUGCUGAACAGUUGGAGAAGAUCUAUGGGUCAGACAGAAUUCUUCUAAGACCACGAGAGAAAAAGUUGGGACUAGGAACUGCAUAUAUUCAUGGAAUGAAACAUGCCACAGGAAACUACAUAAUUAUUAUGGAUGCUGAUCUCUCACACCAUCCAAAAUUUAUUCCUGAAUUUAUUAGGAAGCAAAAGGAGGGCAAUUUUGAUAUUGUCUCCGGAACUCGCUACAAAGGAAAUGGAGGUGUAUAUGGCUGGGAUUUGAAAAGAAAAAUAAUCAGCCGUGGGGCCAAUUUUUUAACUCAGAUCUUGCUGAGACCAGGAGCAUCUGAUUUAACAGGAAGUUUCAGAUUAUACCGAAAAGAAGUUCUAGAGAAAUUAAUAGAAAAAUGUGUUUCUAAAGGCUACGUCUUCCAGAUGGAGAUGAUUGUUCGGGCAAGACAGUUGAAUUAUACUAUUGGCGAGGUUCCAAUAUCAUUUGUGGAUCGUGUUUAUGGUGAAUCCAAGUUGGGAGGAAAUGAAAUAGUGUCUUUCUUGAAAGGAUUAUUGACUCUUUUUGCUACUACAUAAAAGAAAGAUACUCAUUUAUACUUACGUUCAUUUCAGUUUAAACAUGAAAGAAGCCUGGUUACUGAUUUUUAUAAAAUGUACUCUUAAAGUAUAAAAUAUAAGGUCAAAGAGAAGAGUCCAUCACUGUGACUGGGAAGAAUGUCAAGUCACAGGGUAACGGCGGACCUUAAUAAAAUCUCGGCCCCUCUGCACCGAAUACCCCACCAGGAAGGGCUAAGGCAUCCAUGAGGUUGUGUCUCAUCUCAAGUCGCUGUGUGAAGCACGAGGCCCUCACACCUAAUUUAAGGCAGGAGGCGUCAGGGGCGACCGGCCAGGUGUCCCGGCGCCUUCCCGCCGCUUCUCAGCCGUGGAAGCGCGGGCAUCUGAGCACGUGGAGGCGCCCCAGGCCGCCCCGCACACCCCUCCCGCCAGAUGUAGUCCAGGCCCAGCUGGGCCCGCGCAGGGAUCCCCAGCACGGCCACCUGACUGAGUGCUGGGCGUGCUGCGGCCCGCUGCUUCUGCCUCCGCCGCCGGCGCUGCGGCCAGAGGAAGGCGCCCGCCGAGCACACGGGCCGCGGGAGCGCACUGCGGCCAUUAUCCGCGGCGCCUCCUAGUGGGUCAAUGGCAAAUCCGCCUGGUUCUCGCGAGAGUUCCCCCCUCAGUGGGGAUUAUAUAAUUUCCCUCAGGCGGGGGUGGGGGUGCAGAGAGCACCCUCCCUCAGGAAAAGUUAGGUGCAAGCAGGGGUGGGAGUAAGAGGAACCCCCCCUGGGGAAAAUGGGGUUGGGGUGCUCUCCCCACUGCCCCCCCUAUUUAGCUGGACAAUGAGUCCUCUUAUGCUAAUGAGGCACUUACGUCACUUCCGCUCUUUCUCGGCCGCCAUUUUGGCUAGGGCAGGUUCGGGGACUCGGUCCGAGGCGCUUGUAUUGUCUGCUGAGGGGAGACGCGGGAUCAGCCCCCUCCCCCGCCCGUUGCCGCCGCCGCCUCCGCCGGCCCGGUCUCCCCUCCGCCGCCCGCCGGGAUCCAUGAGCUGAACUCCCACCCCCCCGGCCGCCGCCAUCUUGUGCCCCCUCCCCCUCCCGCAGGCAGCGCUAAGGGGGAUUUUGGCGUCUUCUCAGACACAGCUCCCUCUCUCGGUUCCCGCUGCUGAGGAGCGAGAGGAGCGCGGCCGCCGCCGCCCGCGCCGGUGAAGCCGCCUCUCCCACACCCUCCGUCUGCUCCCUCCGCCCCUCCUUUGUCUGCACCGCUCGACGACGCCGCCGCCGCCCGCCGCUCUGCUGCGCCCGCCGCGCCCCCCGGCAGCACCCGCGGCCGCGGCGCGAGCCGGAGUCCGCCGAGCCGGAGCGCGACGAGGCCCCGGGCGCGCCCUCCCCGCUGCCGCCACCGCCGUGCUGCCGCCAUCCACCCGCCGCCGCCGCCGCCGCCGCCGCCGCUGUCCGGCCCCCGAGCACGCCGACCCCGCGCGCGCCUCGAGGCCGAGUCAAGGAUUUUAAACAAUUUGAACCUAAUGACUUUUAUUUGAAAAACACUACAUGGGAGGAUGUAGGACUAUGGGACCCUUCACUUACGAAAAACCAGAUGAAGUUAAGCGUUCGUUUUCACCUUACAAUGGGAACAACUGUAGUGCAGGCAGCUCUGCCUCUGUUGCCACUCUUGGCCCUCUUGCUAUUAAGGGAAAGGCUUUGAAGAGCACACAUUUACAGGGCUGUAAAGAUGGAAGGAGCUGGUAUUUUUACCAUGGGUAGAUUCCCAAGAGAACUUGUACUAAAAAGCAGAAAGUUACAAGGAAGCAGAAUUAGGCCAACAUUUCCAGCAAUUAAAACAAUGAUGGGAAGCUCCAAUCCAUGAGGAGGCUGGUCAGUCACCUCAAGAAUACUGGCCUAAAGAAGUCUGAAGUGGCUGAUGUCCAUAACCUGUGAGUCCGUUUCCAAAAGACUCUUGUUAAUGCUGUUAGCAGAGAGUAGAGAUGUGACCGGCCUCUCCCUAAGAUGUUACGCUUCUCAACAACAGUACAGGAAGAAGUGCAAGAAUAGACUAGAACCUUUAAGGAAUUUGGGGCUGGAAUGGAGCCAUGUUACAUCUGUUGUUACACAGGUAGAUUAUAAAUUCUACAUGCACCAGCCAAAACUUAGGACAGGAUGUCCCCAAAUUAAGAUGCUACAGAUUACCAAAUCAGAAAUAACCAGCUGGAUUUAGGCCAGCUCACAUUUAUUUGGAAAUCACCCUCCCUGAUUAACAGGCUUCUGAGUUGUACGUGGAGGACUAAUGAGACUUGUACAAGACACCAUGGGGCUUGGGGUCCAGGUCCCAGUUGGAUAUCGGAACAGAGACAGAUAAGUGUGUUUCCUCAUUAAGGUGGUGGGAGUGUGCCUUUUGGCAUUCAGAAAAGGGUUUAGCCACUCUAAGCUGGAAAUAAAGAUUCCCAACUGGAAAUGUUGCAGAAUCCCUACAAGUGUCUCAAUAAAAGCCAUUUUAAAAGAA